rnacentral:misc_RNA from 1 species
GAUGAAGAACGUAGCGAACGUGCGAAACGUAAUGUGAAUUGCAGAAUUCAGUGAAUCAUCGAAUCUUUGAACGCAUCUUGCGCUCCUUGGUAUUCCGAGGAGCAUGCCUGUUUGAGUGUCGUGAAUACUCUCAACUUCAACCCUUUUUUCGGAAAGGGAGGAAGGUUGGACUUGGGUGUUUGUUGAAGUGCGAGCUUCGACUCAUCCUAAAUGCAUUAGCGAUCUGCCUCGAUCACACACAAUGUGAUAAUUAAAACUAAAGCAUUGUUUAAUGAUCAAGUCGAGACUGCUUCUAACUGUCGCAAGACAAUAACGUGCAUACAUUUGUGCAUGUCAUUUGCCCUCAAAUCAGGUAGGACUACCCGCUGAACUUAAGCAUAUCAAUAAGCGGAGGA